AUCGAACGGCUCGGAGAGGUCCUUCCCGAUCCUGACGGAGCUUUUGGUGUUGCUCAACGUCAGCUUACAUAGCCGUAUUAGUUUUGCAGGGAUACCAAAUUCAGACAUCGCGGCAUAAAGGCAGCUCCUUUUCGUGCUAUCGAAGGCAGCUUUAAAAUCGAUAAAAAAUGGUGAGUAUCGAUUCUUCUCUCUCGGGUCUUUUCCAAGAUUUGGCGCAUGGUGAAUAUCUGGUCCAUUGUAGAUUUUCCAGGUCUAAAGCCACACUGAUAAGGUCCAAUCAGUUUGUUGACGGUGGGCUUUAGUCUUUCACACAAUACGCUCGACAAAACCUUAUAUGCGAUAUUGAGGAGACUUAUACCACGGUAGUCGGCGCAAAUUGUGGGGUCUCCCUUCUUAUGGAUUGGGCAGAGCACACUAAGAUUCCAAUCGUCAGGCAUGCUUUCUUCCGACCAUAUUCUACAAAGAAGCUGAUGCAUGCACCUUAUCAGUUCUUCGCCGCCGUAUUUGAAUAGCUCGGCCGGUAAUCCAUCAGGUUCGCCAUCUCCUGGUGUUGUACUUUCACUGCCAUUGAGCAGGUCGGAGAAGUGUUCACUCCAUAAUCCCAGUAUGCUCUGGACAUCCGUUACCAGAUUACCUCCUCGGUCCCUACAUGAAAAUGCUCCGGUCUUGAAACCUUCUGUAGAUCGCCUCAUCUUUUCAUAAAAUUUUCGAGCAUUACCCAUGUCGGCCAGCUUUUCAAGCUUUUCAUACUCACGCAUUUCGGCCUCUUUCUUUUUACGUCUGCAAAUGCGUCUCGCUUCCCUCUUCAGUUCUCGAUAUCUAUCCCACCCCGAACGUGUUGUGGUCGAUCGCAACGUUGCGAGGUAGGCAGUCUGUUUUCUCUCCACUGCGGAACGACAAUUCUCAUCGUACCAACCGUUUACUUUUCAGUAAAUCUAGAGUGGUUCUUCCACUUGUUUACUAGCUCGUCUUUCGUAUAGGGGUAUCAUAUCUUUUAAUUAAUUGUAUGCUUAAAUAUAUUGAACGAACAUAUAUACAUACAUAAUCAAAGACAUAAAUAUAUACCCGCCAGUUCAGCUCACCAAGUUCACUACCUACCGUUAACCACCAAAUAGCACCAAUGUAAUUCACUCAUGAAUUUAACACGGCGAUGUCAUUGGCGGUAAUCAGUUCACACUAGUUCAUUACAUAUCACCAGAUAGUUCAUUACAUAUCAGUAACUAUAUUUCACUAGCUACCUCACUACCUUCCAUUUUGCAAUAUUUCACCACCUACCACCUACCACACUACCUACUACUUUCUAUUUUCACUAGUAAUUUCACCACUUACCUAUUUCAUAAUUUAUGUGCUGAACACAUAGAAGACGACAAGCGACAUCUGUCAAAUAUUAAAAUACAUGCGUUCUUAUGGGCACAGAUUUUUUGACAACAGCACGACUUCGCGACAAAAGGGUUGUAGUCUUCGCUGUCGCUAAAUUAGAAAUGUUUCUAAUUUUGCCGACGACAAUGGCCGCUGUAGAGCUGCCACUAUUAUGUGAAAUGUAAAAUUAUUCAAAGUUAUAAUAAAUAUGACGUUAUUUUGCCAGCAGAAACGUAAAAUAGCUUUGAUAUAUCAGUUAUAAUAACAAUCGAUUAUUUAAAACAAAUAAAUCGGCCUAUUUUUAAAUUUUUUGCAGAAAUAAUUUCACUUCAAACCAAAUAUGUAAAUUUUAUUGAAGUGAAAGAUGUUAGUACGGCAACAAUGAAAUUGCUGUUUGAUAUGUCGCUGCCGUCUUCAAAAUGUUCAAUACGCUGGCUUCAAAGCGACAUUUGUGAUCAGCCGUCGCUACGUCGUGUCGUGCCGUCGUCUUUGUGUUCAGCACUUUAAUAAUACCAACUUAAAAACCAACCAGACGAAAAAUAGGAACUGUAUGUAAGAGUAUUUCCAUAUUAAUAAGGACAUUACCCAGCAAGUCAUGGGUACUGAAACUCCAACACAUUCAAAGAAAUUUUAAUAACACCACUACAUACACACAUACGCAACAAAGGGUAAAAUGGGCAUAAACAUUUAACUCAACUCUUCUCUCAUACAGCACCCUGAAUGAUAGAAAGAAACAACCAAAGUUCUCGUGUUUGAACAAAUUUUGUUUUGAGCUAUAUAAUGGCUGCUUGUGAUGUAUUAUUUUGCGUGUUUUAUUUAAUUCAGUGAUCUGCAGCCUAAUUAAAGUUUAAAUUAUUGAAGCACGCAUUUUUAAAUAAGUAAAACGUAAAAUAAAAGUUUUCUAAAGCCAAAAUAUGGAAUUGAAGAGGGUGAUACAGUAAGACUUCAUUGCACUGUCAAUUCGAAGCACGCAAUAGAAGCUACGCCAACAAUGGUCAACAUCAAUAGCGAAAUCAUUGAAUACAUAUUGCAAACCCUUAUAUGGCGCGUUAAAGGUACGCAAACUUAUUGGUGUCACUUAUUGUAGCAGCGGGGAACUUUCGAAGCGAUGGAAUAUGUGCUGCAAACAAAUCCAGAAUUAUGGAUGCAAACGCUGCUAUAUGGAACACAAAUCAUUUACACACCAGAUAUUAAGUUGAAUGUCACUUUUUUACGUGCAAUUAAACCUUUUGGUCAACACAAGCACGAGAAUUGGAACGACAUGAUUUAGGUGCUUUUGAAACCGUUUAUUAUCACGACGUGUGUCAACUGGGUUUUGCCAAUGAGCUAGAGGGCAAAGCAGUUUCAGUAAUUUUGGGAUUACCGGCAGUUGGCCGUGCCAUUAGCAGCUAAAACACAGAAAUUAAAGGUUAAAUUUAAGUGAAUGUUUAUGCUCAUAAAAAUUUAAAAACUUUUUGUAUGUUUAAUUAGGAGGACUUUUUUCAUUCAUUUUCACCUUGUAUUGAGGAAUCAUAACGUUGUUGUAUCGCUUUAAAAGUACAUGGAUUCGCCGAAAUUAGUUCAAUGAAAAUAAUACAGCAAGAGCAGGGAUGUUAAGACUAGAACGUUGCCCGUGCUAGAAUUCCUGAAGUAUAAGGUAUAUAAUUUACUUUAUAUAUUAUAGAAACCCUCCUCACAGAAAUUGGAUGAAUCUAGUACUAGUGAAAUAAAUGAAAGAACAGAUCCUACAAAAAUUCCUAAAGAAACCAAAAAAACGCCUCACAUAAUGUGCGCAGCUUACACUUCCGUCACACAUGGUAGCCUUCGUCCGAUAGCAAAAAUUGUUCAACUAUUCAAUCUAAUAUAUAAAAUUCUCGUGUCACGGUGUACGUUAUUGAACUCCUCUGAAACCGCUCGACCGAUUUUCCUGAAUCUUAGCGUGCAUAUCGGCUAGGGUGGAGAAUCGGACAACAUCUAUUUUUCAUCCUCCUAAAUGUUAAGGGUGGUCCACUCUUAAAUUUGUUUAACUUUCCGUGAAGAAAAUUAAAAAUUUUCUAAAAUCGGGAAAAUUAGUCUUGAAGUAUUCGUGGAAUGCCAGAAAAAGAUUAUAAAGUGAGUAAAUAUGGAAAAAUUGCGAGGAAGAUAUCAAUAAGAGAAUUUUAUUCGAGUUGACAAGAAAAAAAUAAAAAGAGAAAACAAAAAAAUAAUAUUUUGAAGGUCAUUGUUGCUUUCUUAAAAUAUUUUUGUUAUUGUUCAAUUGUAUAAGGUUGUGUCGAUAGCCCAAAACAAUUUGUAAAAAAUAAGGAAAGGCUAAGUUCACGUCCAACCGAACUUUUUACACUCUCGCAAUUUGUUGAUGUAAUUUUAUUAAGAUAACACACAAUAUGACCUAUAUUUUCGGCAUAAAGUCCCAUAGAAAAUCAUAACAUGUGAUUCCAGAACCAAUUUCACUCAUUUUCACCACCAAGGUUAACGGGAAUAGGGGUAACUUGGCAACUGUUAGUAGGCAAACAAACGGCACCUUCGGCCUUGAAAUUACUCCUAAAUUGCAAAUGAACGAAACACCAGUCGGCCAAAUCACCAAAAAUAGUGCUAUAACGAAGAUUUUCCAAAUAUUCAAGAAGUCGCUGGAGGUACUGCACAGGACUUUAAAAGAUCUUGAUUGUCGAUGAACGUUUUUGAUGGAGCCAGGAUUCUGUUAACAGGUGAUUUACGCCAGACUUUUCCAAUUAUUCCUGGAUCAACUGCGACUGACGGGCUAAUCGCAUGCCUAAGGUCAUUUAUUUUUGGCGACACAUAAAGUAUCGCCAAUUAACAACAAACAUAUGAGUGUUUUUGCAACAAUAUCAAUUGCGAUUGUAGAAGCAGUUGGAAAUGGUAAGGUCGCAGUUGACACCUCGAUGGAUUAAUAGCAUUUCCAACAGAUUUCUGUCACUUCAUUGACUUGAAAGAGAAGUUUUCCUGACAUGAAACCAAUAUAUGAUAAAAAAACAAAGAUAUCGAUGAUCUUAAUGCGACAAUUUAGAAUUUCGGUCCAGGAGAGUUGACACAGCUACAAUGCUACCAGGAUGACGUAGUCAAUUAUCCCAAACUAUUUAAAAUUGUCUGUGCUUUCACCACUCACUUUGCAAUUAAAAGUAGUGUGAGUUGUCAUCAUGCUGCGUAACAUAAAUCGACCUCGAGUAAUCAAUAUCGUCGCCGAAGCCAAGAUUGGACCAACUUAAUUUCAUAUAUACCUUAGCCACAACAAUAUGUGGCCGGGUCUGCUAGUACUAUAUUCAUAUGUUCAUAGUGUAGUACGAUAAUACAUGUAUAAAGGAAAUAUAAUAAUAAACACCUAAAUGUCAUGAUAUUUUCAAUAAAUAUGAUAUAUAAUUAA